UACGUAGGUGACAAGCGUUGUCCGGAUUUACUGGGCGUAAAGAGCGCGCAGGCGGUCGUUCAAGUCGAGUGUGAAAGCCCCCGGCUCAACUGGGGAGGGUCACUCGAUACUGAUCGACUCGAAGGCAGGAGAGGGUAGUGGAAUUCCCGGUGUAGUGGUGAAAUGCGUAGAUAUCGGGAGGAACACCAGUGGCGAAGGCGACUACCUGGCCUGUUCUUGACGCUGAGGCGCGAAAGCUAGGGGAGCAACGGGG
rnacentral:rRNA from 1 species